rnacentral:RNase_P_RNA from 1 species
UUAUUCGGAUAAUCGCGGUUUAUAAAUAAAGGUAAACUGAGGAAAGUCCAUGCUCGCACAGGCUGCGAUGCCUGUAGUGUUCGCGCUAGCUGAAAAAAUAAGGCUAGGUGUCUAGUAAACCUUUUUGACAGGUUUUAAGAAGAAAAUAGAUUCUUCUCAUCGUACUUUUAAUUUGCAAAAUGAUCUGUUUAGACAACGGCAGGAAAACGUGCUAAAGUUUUUUUAAACUAUGUACUAGUAUCCUUGAAAGUGCCACAGUGACGAAGCAUUUAAAGAAAUUCAAAUGGUGGAACGCGGUAAACCCCUCGAGCGAGCAACCCAAACUUUAAGGUAGGGGCAUCUUUGAAGCGAAAAUGAACGCAAAAAGGAGCAGUUUUUAUGAUGUAUAAGCGCAGAAAGAAAAAAUUGCAGAUAGAUGAUUAUCGCUUAUCUUUUUUCUCUUGAGAUUAGAUAAGUACAGAACAUGGCUUAUAGAA